CUGGGGGUAGUGCUAGUCUAUAGGCGGUAGUACCAAUCCUGUCUAAGACUUCGAAUGGUCUAAUGAAUCAGGGGUUCAGUUUUCUCCUCUUGUUAAACCUACUAAUUCCCUUGAAAUGAGUGACCUUGAGGAACACCCGGUCGCCUUUCUCAAAUGCUAAAUCUCUCUUCUGGGUGUUCGUGUAACUCUUCUGCCUGCUCUGAGUCGUCUGAAUGUUCAUUCUGAUCUUAACUAUCUUGGAUGUGGUCUCCUCUACUAGCUCCGGGCCGAACAAUUUUCUAUCGCCCAUUUCUUCCCAACAAAUUGGCGAUCUGCAUAGACGCCCAUAUAACGCCUUAUACAGAGCCAUGCCAAUGCUCGCUUGGUAGUU
rnacentral:lncRNA from 1 species